rnacentral:rRNA from 1 species
UACGAAGCGUGCAAGCGUUGUUCGGAUUUAUUGGGCGUAAAGCGUGCGCAGGCGGGUUCGCAAGUCAGGUGUGAAAUCUCGAGGCUUAACCUCGAAAUAGCGCCUGAAACUGCAAGUCUAGAAUGUCGGAGAGGGAAGGGGAAUAUCUCAUGUAGGGGUAAAAUCCGUAGAGAUGAGAUGGAACACCAGAGGCGAAGGCGCCUUCCUGGACGAUUAUUGACGCUGAGGCACGAAAGCGUGGGGAGCAAACAGG